GCAAACUUGGUCAUUUAGAGGAAGUAAAAGUCGUAACAAGGUCUCCGUUGGUGAACCAGCGGAGGGAUCAUUACAGAGCAUGAAAAAGCUCCCAAACCCACUGUAAAUACUACCAUAUCGCUGUUGCUUUGGCAGGCGGACCCCCGGGGCGGGGGUCGUCGCGGGUCGCCCGAUAGGGCGCUCGCGACCCCCCAUAAGCGGGGCGCCUGCCAGAGGACAUACUCAAUUCUUGCUGUAACCAGCCACUCUGAGUCUGAAACAAAAUCAGUAAAAACUUUCAACAACGGAUCUCUUGGUUCUGGCAUCGAUGAAGAACGCAGC
rnacentral:misc_RNA from 1 species